UUCUGGGUGAGUUGAAGCACAUGGAAAGCAGCGUCCAUUGUGGAUUCAGAAGCUCCCGAAAGGGCAAAAUGCAGAAGAUGAGCACAAAGAAAAAGGGCAGGGACCCACCAGUGAAAUUAACAUCCAGUUGUGGGGUAUGGGCAAUACCUAAGAAUACUGCUUCAUCUUUCAUAUCCUUGAGAUGGAGUCAAACUACUGACAAUAAAUAUUUAAAUCCCCUGUAGAGGGCUUCACAUCUCUUGUAAAAUGAGGGGAAGAAAGUGGAUUGGUAAAAGAUAGGUGGAAGAUCAAUUCACAAGUCUCAUGGCAAAAUGAAUAUUGAACUGCUCAGUGGCUUUGGAAACCAUUUUACAUGCAAAAAGGGUAAGUAGUGCAGCUACAACUUCAUGUUUUUAUUCAGAUUUUCAUGUGUGGCAAAGACAAAGGAAAGCUGAUGUGAUCUCUUGUUUUUACAUCUUAGACAAUUUUGAUGUUAAGUUUGAAAGUAACAACCCUUAAAAGGAGCAAAUGUUUGAAAGUGGCCCCUAAAUUGUAUUUGUUAACAAAUUCCUAACCCUAGCAACCCUCUGAAAGUACCAAAUUACCUCAAA